rnacentral:rRNA from 1 species
GAUGAACGCUGGCGGCAUGCUUAAUACAUGCAAGUCGAGGGGCAGCACGAUUCGCAUCAAUGCGGGAUGUUGGCGACCGGCAAACGGGUGAGGAUCGCGUACACAAUCUUCCCGGAGGAGGGGGAUAAGCCGGGGAAACCCGGACUAAUACCCCGUAGUUGACUUUGAAGGCUUCUUUGAGGUAAUAAGACUUCGUGGGCUUUGUAGGGGUGUGCGUGCUAUUUGGUAGGGGGCAGGGUAACGGCGUACUAGGCCUUGGCUGGGUAUCUGCUGUGAGAGCGCGACCCGUCAAACGUGAACUGGGACACGGGCCCGACUCCUACGGGAGGAAGCAGUAAGGAGUAUUGGUCAAUGGACGCAAGUCUGAACCAGCCAUGCCGCGUGAAGGAUGAAGGUCCUCUGGAUUGUAAACUUCUUUUAUAGGGGGCGAAAAAAGGGUUUUUUAACUCACUUGACGGUACAUUAUGAAUAAGAACCGGAAACCUCCGU